UUGUUUCCCAGGAUUUGGGGUUUGGAUUAGAGCUAUGCCAUUUUUUUUCCAGGACCUCCAUCUUGCAGACAGCAGAUUGUGGGACUUCUUAGCCUCCAUAAUUAUAUCCCUGGAAUUCGGCACCUUUGUGAAUAUACAGAGGAAAAGCAAGUGAGACCAACAGAAGGUAAAAGCUGGAGCCAACGUGGGGCGCCUGGGUGGCUUAGUCAUGGGUGUCUGCCUUCAGCGUGGGUCAUGAUCCCAGGGUCCUGGGAUGGAGCUCCGCAUCAGGCUCCCUGCUUGGCCAGGAGCCUGCUUCCCCCUCUCCCUCUGUUACUCCCCCUACUUGUUGU
rnacentral:lncRNA from 1 species